AUGCUGGGUCUCCUUGCCAUCCUGUGCACUCUCCUGUUUCCUGGUGGUGGAGCAGGGCUCAAGCUGGAUCAGCCUGCUUUGGUGGUGGCGCGCUUGCGCUUGGACAGCUCAGCCACCCUGCCAUGCAAAGUAGACACCUCGGUCAGCUACGUCCACUGGUACCGCCACCAGGAGGGUACGGCCCCCAAGAGGCUCCUCUACCUAGACAUGUCCAGGUCCUUUGUGAAGAGGGAUUUUCCCAUGAAAGCGGACAAAGUCAAUGCCCAGAAGGGCAGGGAGAGCAACAGCUGUACUCUGUCGGUGCUGAAGCUGGAGAAGAGCGACGAGGGCGUGUACUACUGUGCUGCCUGGGAGUGCACAGCCCUACAGUGUACAUGGGAUGGCUCAUGGAAGAACAAAGUGUUUGGUCCUGGCACAUUGCUCAGGAUUACAGAUACAAGUCCUGAUGAAGACAUUUCCCCCAAGCCCACCAUUUUUCUUCCUUCAGUUGCUGAAAUACAAAUCCAUAAGGCUGGAACAUACCUUUGUCUUCUUGAGGAUUUUUUCCCUGACAUUAUCAAGAUAGAUUGGCAAGAAAAGGAUGGCAAAACAAUUCUGAAAUCCCAGCAGGGAGACACUAUGAAGAAGACUAAGGACACAUACAUGAAAUUCAGCUGGCUGACUGUGACUGAAGCAUCAAUGGAUAAAGAACACAAAUGUAUCGUCAACCACGAGAGUGGUAAAACAAAGGUUAAUCAAGAGAUUCUUUUUCCUUCAAUAAACAAAGAUUUGAUGGCAGAGAUGGAAUCCAAAGUGGACUCCCAGGGACAUUCAGAGACAGAACAAAACACAGAGGUGGUAACUGUGAACCCUUUGAGUUCACAAUCCUUCUCACCUGUUCCAGGGGCUGUGGAGCUCGCUGUUAUUAACUCCACAAAAUAUUCUCUGAAUGAUGAAAACAACACCCUGCAGCUGCAACUCGUGAACACCUCUGCCUAUUACACCUACCUCCUCCUCCUUGGGAAGAGCCUGGUCUACUCCACCAUCAUCGCCAUCUGUCUGCUUGGGAGACCAGCAUUCUAUGGCAAUGGAAAGAGUUCCUAA